UUAGCCGCGCCUCUAACCACAAAGCUCUUGGAGGGGCUGGGAAGCCAACAAAAUGCAUUACGUAAGGGUUAUACAAUCUGAUUGGUGCAUAUGCAUUCCUGAAUGCAAACUGCUUACGUAAUGUAGGCAGUCUGCAAUCUGAUUGGUGCUGCAUGUUUUUCUGCAGCAAGAACAAGGCUGCAACCCGUCUCCCUUUUUGGAGGCGGGCCACGCCCAUCUAAUACUAUGCCCUCGGGAUAUAAACCACGUGCACUCGGGAUGCAUGGCAUAUAUUGCGGCUUACGCCCUCGUGCUUCAGUGUAAUAUAUACGUGUUAUAUUUUCAAAGCUAGCUACAAGCUAUUACAUGCAGCACAGUGUAGUAGAGAUGUUCAAUAAUAUUAUAUGGGAAGUAUUACUGUAUAUAGCUCUAUAGAGUUUAACUGUUACAUAAGAUACAUCAGUGAGGUACUUGUGCAAUUGCAUGUAGUCUACAUACAUGUAUAGCUAGCUGCAUGUACAAAAGAUGCCUUAUCACUGCAGCAAUUGCAUUAGCACAAUAGUCACUCACUACUAUUAGCAGCGUUGCAAUGCCUGUUCUAACAUCUCAUGUGCACGCAAAAAUGUUCUCCUAUAUUAUUUGUUUAAAAGUGUCAACAAGUCAUGGCCUUAUCUAAUGUUUCAUACCACAGGUGGACCUAUAUAGCUCUCUCUCUGAGGGUCUGGCUGCGGGGGGCCGUGCGCCCCCUGCUCUCUGGGGGGGCUCUCCCUGGGAUGUGAGAGUGUAGGGUCCUAUGGGCCAAAUCACUAUAAAAUGAACGAGCUUAGUGACGUACCUCCUGGGUAGCUUGGAAAGCGUCACACACUAUAUUCCACAGGUGUGAUGGUUCUCUUCCGUAUUAAAAUCAGGGUGAAAAUUGAAAGUAGCGUUAGGCAUCUGCAAAUCAUUUCAUGGUGCUAGCCUGUUCACCCUUAAAUCUCUAUGUGUAUGUGCAUGUACAUGUAUACUGUGGCUAUUGUCUUGUUCUGUUAUUAUGUCACUUGUAUAUACUUUUAACAUGUUUUUCUUGUUCCUUUUGUGUUUUUCUUUAGGACUACCUUUACAUCAGCAUUCAGUUGCUACUAGUCUUGUUUUUGUCCUUAUGCUUGCAUUACUAACUAUAAUUAUACUGACACAAAUUAUAGAAUUAA